UCAGUGGACUCCAAGCGUAUCGACCAUGAAGCUAAGAUUCCUCCAGAGACUCUGAACGGACUGAAGGAGCUGGGACUGUUCGGUAUCCAGGUGCCUGAGGAGUAUGGUGGCCUGGGUCUGUCCAACACCAUGUAUGCCCGACUAGGAGAGAUCAUCUCUCUGGAUGGAUCCAUAGCAGUUACACUGGCUGCCCACCAAGCCAUCGGACUCAAGGGGAUCCUGAUAGCCGGUAGUGAGGAGCAGAAGGCUAAAUAUCUCCCAAAGCUGGCUUCAGGGAGA